rfam:Triticum aestivum genome assembly, contig: Triticum_aestivum_CS42_TGACv1_scaffold_135230_2BL
GAGAGCCGUGUGAUGGGAAACCUUCCCGCACGGUUCGAAGAGCACUGAAGACGAAUGAGAGGUUCACCACCACAUCAUUGCAAGGGGAGCUCGCUUGAUUCGCAGAUUGGCCUGACUCGUAAUUCACUUUUGACUCUGU